rnacentral:lncRNA from 1 species
GGGUAGGAUAAUGAGUUGAGUUGACAUACUAACCAGCCAGUGACUUUGUGGCCAGUUUGAACAUGGAUUCUUGAGUUAUUAUGAGCACCUAAACACAUGAUAAAGUGUUUCUGUUAAGACUCGUUUUGGUGUAUGUUCACUAACAUCUAUUAGAUUAAAAUAUGUCACCUUCUUUGAUUAUACACAUCAACUUCAAUUGGAACAUGUCUGAGGUUUUACGACUUAUUGAAGAGAGCCAAGAUUUAGUUUUUGAUUAUACACGUCAACUUCAAUUGGAACAGGUCUGAGGUUUUACGACUUAUUGAGGAGAGCUAAGAUUUAUUUUUUCAUUAUACACAUCAACUUCAAUUGGAACACGUCUGAGGUUUUACGACUUAUUGAGGAGAGCCAAGAGUUAUUUUAGCUAUCACUUGGUCAUCCCUUAAGAAUAAGAAACAAAAGGUUUGGUGAGAUUUGCAAACAUUAACAUAUGACAAAUGGCAAUAGGAGAUACAAAAUUACAUA